UACGUAGGGGGCUAGCGUUGUCCGGAAUCAUUGGGCGUAAAGAGCGUGUAGGCGGUCCGGUAAGUCCGCUGUGAAAGUCGGGGGCUCAACCCUCGAAUGCCGGUGGAUACUGUCGGGCUAGAGUGCGGAGGAGGCGAGUGGAAUUCCUGGUGUAGCGGUGAAAUGCGCAGAUAUCAGGAGGAACACCUAUUGCGAAGGCAGCUCGCUGGGACGUUACUGACGCUGAGACGCGAAAGCGUGGGGAGCAAACAGG
rnacentral:rRNA from 1 species